UACGUAGGGUGCAAGCGUUGUCCGGAAUUAUUGGGCGUAAAGAGCGUGUAGGCGGACUCUUAAGUCGGUGGUGAAAUCCUGGAGCUCAACUCCAGAACUGCCUUCGAUACUGGGAGUCUUGGAGUCCGGGAGAGGUGAGUGGAACUGCGAGUGUAGAGGUGAAAUUCGUAGAUAUUCGCAAGAACACCAGUGGCGAAGGCGGCUCACUGGCCCGGUACUGACGCUGAGGUGCGAAAGCGUGGGGAGCAAACAGG
rnacentral:rRNA from 1 species